UGCCCUUAGAGUUUGAUCCUGGCUCAGAUUGAACGCUGGCGGCAUGCCUUACACAUGCAAGUCGAACGGCAGCACGGACUUCGGUCUGGUGGCGAGUGGCGAACGGGUGAGUAAUGCAUCGGAACGUACCCGGUAGUGGGGGAUAACUACCCGAAAGGGUGGCUAAUACCGCAUAUACUGUGCGCAGGAAAGCAGGGGACCUUCGGGCCUUGUGCUACCGGAGCGGCCGAUGUCAGAUUAGGUAGUUGGUGGGGUAACGGCCUACCAAGCCUGCGAUCUGUAGCGGGUCUGAGAGGAUGAUCCGCCACACUGGGACUGAGACACGGCCCAGACUCCUACGGGAGGCAGCAGUGGGGAAUUUUGGACAAUGGGCGCAAGCCUGAUCCAGCCAUGCCGCGUGAGUGAAGAAGGCCUUCGGGUUGUAAAGCUCUUUCGGACGGAAAGAAAUCGUGCAGGCUAAUACCCUGCGCGGAUGACGGUACCGUCAUAAGAAGCACCGGCUAACUACGUGCCAGCAGCCGCGGUAAUAAGGGC
rnacentral:rRNA from 1 species